GCUGGGCGUGGUGGCACACACCUGUAAUCCCAUUGGCUCAGGAGGCUGAGGCAGGAGGAUCGCAAAUUCAAAGCCAGUCUCAACAACUUAGCGAGACCCCGACUCUA
rnacentral:sRNA from 1 species